CAGGAGCUUCUCUUUCCAUUAUCAAGCAUUUUGUUAGAACUGGUGACUAAUGUGGUGACCAACUGACUGCAGGAGGAGAGGGACAGAAAGCUGUAGAGGACAUAUCCCAGAUUCCUGGUCUGGGGGGUUGGGUAGGUAGAGGAGCCAUUUCCUAAUGUGGAGACACAAUGGGUCAGGCAUGACCAUGUGGAUACUAGUGGCUGCACCUUAUCAAGGUCAUUAUGGGACUCCAUGCAGGAUUCCUGUUCUUGGCGAAUACCUGAUAACUCAAGGCUCCAGAAUUCUCCUCCUUCCUCUCCAAGACACGCAGCCCAGUUCUCUUUGGCUUCUGGGAAGCUUGCCAGGUGGAUAGACCACUAGAAGAACUGCCUACUUGAAGGACAGCAGCCGCUCCAUGGCCUUGCUCACAGCCAGCGGUGGGCAGUGUGAAUCCUCUGCAAACUUUCCUUGGUGGAACAAGAGUGACUUCUGAAGCCCAGAGAACUCUGGAGUGUUGCAUAGGAAGGCAGCUCGUGAGAACUCCAGGUCCCUCCCCGAAGGGAGGAAUUGUGUUUCUGUCUGCAUUAGCUGCUUCUGUCCUACUAAGAUCCCUGCGCUGAGUUCCUACUCAAGUCCUGUCUUAAGUCCGCAGUGUGUUUUCUCCCCUGGUAUUGCUGUGACCUGGCUGUGGAGAGAAAGCCCCUGCUGAGAAGCCAUACAGCCAUGUGUUUCUGCUGCUCAAUACCAGCAUGAUUGCCCAGAUGCAGAGAGGACCCCAGGAGCACCAUACCCCUGCUGGGUGCUGAGGAUCACGUACCUCCAUGGACCUGAAUCCUGACAUGCUCACGCUGCAUGUCAACACCUGUUUCUACUCUGAAGAAUAUCAAGCAAGAUCAAAAAAAUCACAUUCAUUUCCAAGAAAGAUGCACACCUAACCUCUGGCUAUAGCCAGAACCAAUUAAGGGAAAAAGAAAAGUGGGGCAAGAUCUUUCCAAAUCUGGGGCAGCUUUGCAACAUCGUCACCCCUAGCCAACCCUGGUCAGUUCUGCUGGAAUCCCCAGGGGGCGGUGGCAGCAGAGCAUUUGAAAGCUCCCAGCCCCAUCCUGAUCCUCUCAGCAGAACUUUGGCCUCGAAGCUCGGGGUGUGGUUUCAGUAUCAGGUGCACAAAGAGGGACUAUCGACUGCUCUGUAACGUAUAUUCCCUGAAAUGGCACUGACCUUGACUCCCAUGUUGCCUUGAUAUCAGAUCCAGUGAAACCAGGCACCACUACUGACAAGUCUCCUUUAAUCUCUGCUGCUCUUCAGGUCUCACUGACCCAAGGUUUAAGAAUCCCUUGUGAAUUCACAAAGGAGUUCUUUCAGAUGGUAUGUGUGCACACAUGUGUGCAUGUGUGUGUGUGUGUAUGCAUGAGCAUAUAUGUGUACACGUGUUUGCCCAUGUUGUGUGUGUACAUAUGUGCAUGUGUAUAAGUAUGUGUAUGUGCAUGAGCACAUAUGUGUGCAUGUGUUUGCACAUGGUGGGUGAGUACAUGUAUGCAUGUGUGUGUAAGUAUGUGCAUGAGUGCAUAUGUGUGCAUGUGUUUGCACAUGGUGUGUGUGUCCCUGUGUGAAUAUGUGUGUGCAUGUUCAUGUUCAUGCAUGCAUGUGCUCCUGCUUGUGUGUUGUUUGUGCAUGUGUGUCUGCACGUGCUUACAUGUGCAUGCGUGUGCACAUGUGUACAUACAUACAUUUAGGUGUCAGGUUUCAGAUGAUGGUUUCUCAUCACUGUAAAUAGAGUGCAGCUUGAAGGUGAGUAUGUUUAUUUGAUUUGCCAUCCAAUUACAAUGUUAGAAAGAUAAGGAUAAUUUAUUUUAAGCCAUAAGUGAUAAAAAAUGGAAUACGUUCAUAUUUCUCAUUUAUCACCAAUUCUGAUUCAGAUAGUUCAUAUUCCCUACAUCUAUACAUAGCACUAUAACCUUGAAAUAAAAUUUGUUUUUCACCUGUAGUAGAGAUUUCACAAAACUCACGUGAAGUUGGUCUUAUUCUGGUCUUCUGCUGCACAUGGUGGACAUCCACAGGAAUGGCUUUCCGCUUUGGCCUGAAUGUUUCACUGAGACUGUGAAGAGUAGUCACAGCAGGAACCGGUUCCUUCAGUGGUAACAAAGUCUGGAAAUGAAAAUAACGUACAGUUUUAGGGAAAAAAUAGGAUGAGAAGUACUCAGUUGAUAUCGUUGUGCCUUUUAGACAGAAAAAAACUUCUUGAUAAGUUUAGGCCUAGUUUUAGUCAACAUAUACAUUAGUGAUAGGCAGGCCCUGUCCUGUAAUUGGUGAGCCGUUAAUAUGUGUCAUGUGGUCACUUGAUCCUUGAAGUUGCCAUGCGAUGUUCACACUGUAUUCUUCUUCUGCAUCCUUUAUCUGUGAAGCAAGAGGGCAGGACAGAAUGGUGGCCUGGGGGCCUCUGGCCACCUGCACCCUAGAAGCCCCUGGCCUUGUCCUUUGAAGUCUUUUACAGAAUCAAGCCGUCAGUAAGUUCUUGGAAACAUACAGGUGAGGAUGACAUUGCUGCAUUUCGCUGAUGCUCAGGUGGACAUUUUGCUCCCUUUGUUACCUCUGAAAUUAAGGUGGAUCUUGCAAUCCAUGAGGUGUGGAAGUUUGGUUGGCAGUAUGUUCCUCAUGUCCUGUCCCUUAGUGCCUUUCACAGGAAAGAGCGACUUGGAGUCAGUGAGAUGUGGAAUCUCAUCCCAUCUCUUUCCGAAAAAGAAUUUGAAGAAGUUUAACAAAGUAUACAAAACAAGACAAAUCAACAGUGUGUGCUUCUGAUUGAAGUUACUCUGAAGCUGGCUUUCUCUGUGAAAACCUGCUCUCCUAUAAAAUGAAAAUGUGCACAGAGCUGUUAAGAAGAUUGAAGAUACUGAGGCACAGGAAGUUGAUAGCACAGUACCAGCCACACGGUAAAGGCGAGAACGAUCUCACAAGAAGAGCAGGUUCUAAUGCACAAGCAAAUGCUUGGUAGUCAGGGACACCAAUGCAGGCAAUGGUGGGCAUUUAGCACGGGUUGCCCCUCUGUGGGUUUGCAUCUGAGCUGCAUGGACCACCUUGAACUCCACCUGCCGCAUAGCGCUGCUUCCUAAUAGUUGCUCAGAAGCCACGCUUCUCCUUCGACGUUCGUGCAUACAACUUCUGUGCUGGGCAUUGAUUUUUGUGGGUCAUCGUAAAGAGCAAGAUAAAUAACCUGUGGACUAAAUUCAGUGCCCAGCCAUAACAACAUGAUGGAGGCUAGAGUCGGAGGAAGAGGAGGCUGGGAGGCCAAAGCCACUGAACCCACACAUGGAUGGAACCAGAAAGAAGGUUUCAUGGCAUAUUUUGGAGCAAGAAGGCAGAAGCGGAAGGUGCACAAGAGAGGGUAAAAGGUCAUAGUACCUCCCUUACAAGGUGUGCAAAGAUGACCAGAAUUGAGGGUAGCUACCCGGUGGCCAAGGACCUUCAAGAUUCUCCCAUGUCAUGUCAUCCUUACUGAGGCCAGGGCUGAUGUGCCAACCAUGUCAUGUAGCAACCUUAUCUUAGUGAGAUGAACAUCUCAAGAUGGAUUUUGUAGGCUCUUGUUACAGACGUACGUAGUUUCAGCAUGAGAUAUAGUGGCCACUGUGGCACGCGCCAGAGCAGGAGAGAGGCACUGGUGAGGAGCCGCAGGGGCAGGGACUCUAUCUUGCCUGGUAUGUCUGCCUGCAAGGCUCUGCUUUUGUGUGGAAAGGACAGAGACAGCAUUGAGGCCAGACGACCCACCCGUCUCUCUCAUGACUGUAUUUUAAUCGCCACCCUUUGUAAAAACCAAGCGCAGAUAGAUGUUCAAUAAAAACUUGUUAACUCA